rnacentral:rRNA from 1 species
AGCGCCCUACGGGACGCAGCAGUGAGGAAUAUUGGUCAAUGGCCGAGAGGCUGAACCAGCCAAGUCGCGUGAGGGAUGACGGCCCUACGGGUUGUAAACCUCUUUUGUCGGGGAGCAAGACCCGCCACGAGUGGCGGAGCGAGAGUACCCGAAGAAAAAGCAUCGGCUAACUCCGUGCCAGCAGCCGCGGUAAUACGGAGGAUGCGAGCGUUAUCCGGAUUUAUUGGGUUUAAAGGGUGCGCAGGCGGACCAUCAAGUCAGCGGUAAAACCGGGGGGCCCAACCCCG